UAUCAGAAAGUGACGGCAAACUAUGUGCCAGCAGCCGCGGUAAUACAUAGGUCACAAGCGUUAUCCGAAAUUAUUGGGCGUAAAGCGUCCGUAGGUUGUUUAUUAAGUCUGGAGUUAAAGACCGGUGCUCAACGCCGGCACGCUUUAGAUACUGGUAGACUAGAGUUAUAAAGAGGUGAGUGGAAUUUCAUGUGAAGCGGUGGAAUGCGUAGAUAUAUGAAAGAACACCAAUGGCGAAGGCAGCUCACUGGUUAUAUACUGACACUGAGGGACGAAAGCGUGGGGAGCAAACAGGAUUAGAUACCCUGGUAGUCCACGCCGUAAACGAUGAUCAUUAGUUGGUGGGAGAAUCUCACUAACGCAGCUAACGCAUUAAAUGAUCCGCCUGAGUAGUAUGCUCGCAAGAGUGAAACUUAAAGGAAUUGACGGGGACCCGCACAAGCGGUGGAGCAUGUGGUUUAAUUUGACGAUACGCGUAGAACCUUACCCACUCUUGACAUCCUCUGCAAAGCUAUAGAGAUAUAGUG
rnacentral:rRNA from 1 species